rnacentral:rRNA from 1 species
GAUGAACGCUGGCGGCGUGCCUAAUACAUGCCAGUCGAGCGAACAGACGAGGAGCUUGCUCCUCUGACGUUAGCGGCGGACGGGUGAGUAACACGUGGAUAACCUACCUAUAAGACUGGGAUAACUUCGGGAAACCGGAGCUAAUACCGGAUAACAUGUUGAACCGCAUGGUUCAACAGUGAAAGACGGUCUUGCUGUCACUUAUAGAUGGAUCCGCGCCGCAUUAGCUAGUUGGUAAGGUAACGGCUUACCAAGGCAACGAUGCGUAGCCGACCUGAGAGGGUGAUCGGCCACACUGGAACUGAGACACGGUCCAGACUCCUACGGGAGGCAGCAGUAGGGAAUCUUCCGCAAUGGGCGAAAGCCUGACGGGGCAACGCCGCGUGAGUGAAGAAGGUCUUCGGAUCGUAAAACUCUGUUAUUAGGGAAGAACAAAUGUGUAAGUAACUAUGCACGUCUUGACGGUACCUAAUCAGAAAGCCACGGCUAACUACGUG